rnacentral:rRNA from 1 species
UACGUAGGGUGCGAGCGUUGUCCGGAAUUAUUGGGCGUAAAGAGCUCGUAGGCGGUCUGUCGCGUCGGAUGUGAAAGCCCGGGGCUUAACUCCGGGUCUGCAUUCGAUACGGGCAGACUAGAGUGUGGUAGGGGAGAUCGGAAUUCCUGGUGUAGCGGUGAAAUGCGCAGAUAUCAGGAAGAACACCCGUGGCGAAGGCGGUUCUCUGGGACGGUACUGACGCUGAGACGCGAAAGCGUGGGGAGCGAACAGG